rnacentral:lncRNA from 1 species
AAUUAAUUGCCCUAUUUUACAAUGAAUCCUAUUUUGAUCGAGAACUUCAAUAUCAAAUUAAUGUUGCUUAAUGCUUCAAAAUUUCAUUUCUUGUUGAUAAGUGAACAAAUCAUUUGAGACUUGCAUAAAUUUAAGUAUACUAAAUGAUAUGAAAAUUGACCCACAAAAUAGCAAGAUAAAUAAACAAAAAUAUAGAAGUUGCUUACCAGUGAAUUUGAAGGCAAUUACUCCAACAACGAAAAGCAAAAGUUGAACUGUGGCAAUCCCAUCUUUAAUUUGAUUUAUGAAGGUUGUGGCAAUCCCAUCUUUAAUUUAUCUACUUCAUGUUUAUUUGAUUGGAUAAAUUUCCUGUUAAGCUUUUCAAAAUUUUCCAAGUUAUAAUAAAAAUAUUCAUUAGGUUAGUCUAUGGUUGUUAUGUACAUUUUCAUUUUUAGCAACACGGUAGUUUCUAUAAUCACAACAUACUCUUUAACCUUUCUUAAUAGGUCUUUAACAAAUUGACUUUUUAAGCUAAGUGUUUGUUUUGGAGAAAAUUUUCCAAGUAAAAUUUGAUUUUUUUGGAGUGUGUGGUUAGAAAGUGAAGAAAGGUUGUGAAUCCCUAAACGACUUUGUUGAAAAUGAUUGUGGGGAAAAAUCUUUCCCAAACAAACCAUAAAGAAGACCUUCCAAAAAAGGAAAGAAAUAAAUUGCAUUUGGCCUGUUAUAUUUUGCUUUUUCUUCCAUUAUGCUUCACUAUGAUUAUUUAGUUGAUAAUGUAAUCUGUUGCAUAAAGGCUUGUGUACGCCCACACACUUUUGAUCUAUUAAGGCUUGUCUGGCAACACUUUCCAAAAGUAAAAAGUUGCUACUAUUUGGAUAAUAUUUCAAAAUUGUUUUGUGUGGCUGAAGGAGAUUUUGGAGGAAUCUAAUUGAAGAUAGUUUCUUCGAAACGCUCUUCUACAAUAAAAGUUGUUUCAAACGAGCAUUUAAUCCUAUUUUUGGUUAAAAAUUUAUCAUGGAGAUAAGAAACUGAAAGGUACAGGAAAAUUGCAUCACAGAUGAUAUUACAAAAAUUAAUCAAGGACCAUAAAAAUUUUAGUUCUUGACUUACGGGGACGUAGAAUAUAAAAAAAUUGAAUGUAAAAGAUUUUAAGGAAGAGGGCGUUAUAUAUUCACUGGAAUUUUUGUUUAUUAGGGUGAGAAAUUAUUGAUGUUAGUGUGUUAAAUAUAUAAAUAUAAAUAAGUUAGUUGUAUAUCUCAAGAAGGUAAUAUUUUAUAAAUAAUUAGUCAUUCAAUAAGAUAUCACUUUUUUCAAAUAUUCUAAAUUCACAUCUCACCUUGUUUGCAAGAUUUUCAUGUAUUAGCGUAAAGGGUUAAAUGUUGAUUGAAAAAUAUAUCUAAUUCGUAUUCGAAUAAAUUCAUUUUUUUGAUAUCAUAGCUAGUUUAAACAAUAUUCUUUUUUGAGCUUCAUGAAUUCUAUUUUUGUUUUGUACUAUUGGUCUCCUGUGAAUGUUGUAAAAAUAUAAUUGUUCAAUAAUCAAUGCUCGCAAUAUCAAUAAUCAAUGCUCAUCAAUUUUAAUGGAAUAUCAAUCAUCUCCCUACAUGUAUUGUGUAUAGCAAUUAUAUCUCCUCCAACAUUUGGAGCUAUCUUGUCCUUUUAAAGAAGAAAUAGAUUGCUCAUUUAGGUAGUGUGUACAAAGCUUUUGACAAGGAAUGGAGUUUUUGAUUUUAUUACUUUAUGAGUUUUUCAUGCUUCCUGAGGCACGUGUUUAUUGAACUAUAAAUGAUAUUUGUUGCUUUCCGUAGACGUGCUUGACUUCUUGCUUUGUAGAGUAGAAUUACAGCUUGCUUCCAACAAUCUUAUUAAGUAGACUGCAUUCUCGUGGAAGCAGAGUACCAAGUAUGACAUUUAGGAGACUUAAUCUAAUCUACUUUCCUUUUAAUAUGAAUAUUAUGCUCUCACACAUUUGAUUGUGUUGCCAAUUACCAAGUUUGAGCUUCAUGAAUUCUAUUUUUGUUUUGUACUAUUGGUCUCCUGUGAAUGUUGUAAAAAUAUAAUUGUUCAAUAAUCAAUGCUCGCAAUAUCAAUAAUCAAUGCUCAUCAAUUUUAAUGGAAUAUCAAUCAUCUCCCUACAUGUAUUGUGUAUAGCAAUUAUAUCUCCUCCAACAUUUGGAGCUAUCUUGUCCUUUUAAAGAAGAAAUAGAUUGCUCAUUUAGGUAGUGUGUACAAAGCUUUUGACAAUGAAUGGAGUUUUUGAUUUUAUUACUUUAUGAGUUUUUCAUGCUUCCUGAGGCACGUGUUUAUUGAACUAUAAAUGAUAUUUGUUGCUUUCCGUAGACGUGCUUGACUUCUUGCUUUGUAGAGUAGAAUUACAGCUUGCUUCCAACAAUCUUAUUAAGUAGACUGCAUUCUCGUGGAAGCAGAGUACCAAGUAUGACAUUUAGGAGACUUAAUCUAAUCUACUUUCCUUUUAAUAUGAAUAUUAUGCUCUCACACAUUUGAUUGUGUUGCCAAUUACCAAGUUCACAAUUUGAAUUGUUGCAGUUUAAUGUUUGAUAGUAUCAUAAUGGACAAAGAAUGACAGCAAUUAUCAAGGUUAUCGUCUGAAAUAAAAUCUUAUAAAUCUAGGUCCAAAAUUUAAACAAUAAUAUAAAAUAAUCAUACAAUUGUUGUUGUAGAUUUUCAGAACAAAACAGAGAUGGAGCACGAAAGUUUGUAGAACUAGCUCGUGAAACUCUAAAUUCAGAAAUGAUAGGAUGCCCUUGUAUCAAGUGUAGGGAUCUAAAGCAUCACAAUUAUGAAAUAGUUUAUGAACAUUUAAUUAUUAAAGGUAUGCAUCCUACAUACACUGAUUAGGUAUUUCAUAGAGAAAUACCAGGUAAAUCAAAUUUGG